UAGGGAAUCUUCGGCAAUGGACGAAAGUCUGACCGAGCAACGCCGCGUGAGUGAAGAAGGUUUUCGGAUCGUAAAACUCUGUUGUUAGAGAAGAACAAGUACGUUAGUAACUGAACGUCCCCUGACGGUAUCUAACCAGAAAGCCACGGCUAACUACGUGCCAGCAGCCGCGGUAAUACGUAGGUGGCAAGCGUUGUCCGGAUUUAUUGGGCGUAAAGCGAGCGCAGGCGGUUUCUUAAGUCUGAUGUGAAAGCCCCCGGCUCAACCGGGGAGGGUCAUUGGAAACUGGGAGACUUGAGUGCAGAAGAGGAGAGUGGAAUUCCAUGUGUAGCGGUGAAAUGCGUAGAUAUAUGGAGGAACACCAGUGGCGAAGGCGGCUCUCUGGUCUGUAACUGACGAUGAGGCUCGAAAGCGUGGGGAGCAAACAGG
rnacentral:rRNA from 1 species